rnacentral:rRNA from 1 species
UACGUAGGGGGCGAGCGUUGUCCGGAAUUACUGGGCGUAAAGGGUGCGUAGGUGGCCUUUUAAGUUGGAUGUGAAAUACCCGGGCUUAACUUGGGGGGUGCAUCUAAUACUGGGAGGCUAGAGUGCAGGAGAGGGAAGCGGAAUUCCUAGUGUAGCGGUGAAAUGCGUAGAUAUUAGGAGGAACACCAGUGGCGAAGGCGGCUUUCUGGACUGUAACUGACACUGAGGCACGAAAGCGUGGGGAGCAAACAGGAUUAGAUACCCUGGUAGUCCACGCUGUAAACGAUGAAUACUAGGUGUAGGGGGUAUCAACUCCCCCUGUGCCGGAGCUAACGCAAUAAGUAUUCCGCCUGGGGAGUACGGCCGCAAGGUUGAA